CCUACGGGUGGCAGCAGUGAGGAAUAUUGGUCAAUGGGCGUAAGCCUGAACCAGCCAAGUCGCGUGAGGGAUGAAGGCUCUAUGGAUCGUAAACCUCUUUUAUAAGGGAAUAAAGUGUGGGACGUGUCCUGUUUUGUAUGUACUUUAUGAAUAAGGAUCGGCUAACUCCGUGCCAGCAGCCGCGGUAAUACGGAGGAUCCGAGCGUUAUCCGGAUUUAUUGGGUUUAAAGGGUGCGUAGGCGGCCUUUUAAGUCAGCGGUGAAAGUCUGUGGAUCAACCGUAGAAUUGACGUUGAAACUGGGAGGCUUGAGUAUGUUUGAGGCAGGCGGAAGGCGUGGUGUAGCGGUGAAAUGCUGAGAUAUCACGCAGAACCCCGAUUGCGAAGGCAGCCUGCCAAGCCAUGACUGACGCUGAUGCACGAAAGCGUGGGGAUCAAACAGGAUUAGAUACCCGGGUAGUC
rnacentral:rRNA from 1 species